rnacentral:rRNA from 1 species
GAUGAACGCUAGCGACAGGCCUAACACAUGCAAGUCGAGGGGCAGCACGAGGAGCAAUCCGAGGUGGCGACCGGCGCACGGGUGCGUAACGCGUAUGUAACCUGCCCCUAAGCGGGGGAUAACCCGGAGAAAUCCGGACUAAUACCCAUGGCGCGGGGAGGGGUCCUCCCCUCCCCGCUAAAGUAUCUCGCUUAGGGAUGGGCAUGCGUAUGAAUAGCUGGUUGGCGGGGUAACGGCCCACCAAGGCAACGAUCAUUAGGGGUUCUGAGAGGAAGGCCCCCCACACUGGCACUGAGACACGGGCCAGACUCCUACGGGAGGCAGCAGUGAGGAAUAUUGGUCAAUGGGCGGUAGCCUGAACCAGCCAAGUCGCGUGAGGGACUAAGGCCCUACGGGUCGUAAACCUCUUUUGCGGGGGGACAAAAGGCGCCACGCGUGGCGCGCAUUGCGGGUACCCCGCGAAUAAGGAUCGGCUAACUCCGUGCCAGCCGCCGCAGUAAAAC